UUUGUGUAAAAAUUAUGAUAAGUUUUAAUUUAUCCCAAUUCUGUUCUAAUCAUGUGAGCUGUAUGAACUAGGUUGGAUUUUCAACUUGAAUCAAUUUUGUUGAGGUUAAAUUUGUGUGUAUGAGUGAGUAUAUGUUGCCCGGUGCUAUAGAUUUUGAGAGGUGAAUUCCGGUGUUUAUUUCGGUUCGUCAUGUGCUGUAGCAUUCUUCUUGGAUGUAAAUGCUGUAAAAUAAUUCUGCAGAUUGAUUAAGUUAUGCCAUUGCUUUUCGGUUGUGUCAAUUCUAUAAUUUCUAUAACAUGUUGAUUUAAGUUUGUGUAAAUAUUGUACUGUCCAUCCUCUUAAUUGCAUUUUCAAUUGUCAACGUUGCUUUGUAAUUGAGACUGAUGUAAUAACUUUGGAAAUCAUGUGGUGAUUAUUUGGCAUUCAUUUUGGUUAUCCGGAUUCAAAUGCAGUUAUGUUUUGGUUUGUUUUGUUUGCAAUAUAAUGAGCUGUUGCGGUUUGCAAUAUUCAAGUUUUUUUGAGGCAGUAAAUGUGUAUCAGUGUGAUGCGAUAAUGCUUUAUGGUUAUGCCUCACCUUUUCCGUUUCAAUAUUAAUUUAUGAUUGAUAAUGAUGCUUGAAUGCUAUAAAAACAAGUUUUAAUGUUAUGUUUUUUAAUGUGUCAAAGUAAUCCAUAUGUUGUUGGAAAGUAUAGGAAUUUUAUUUGAGUUAAAGUGUGAGCUUGCAGUAGUUUGAAUUCUAUUUAAGUGAGAAGUAGUUAUAAUGUG
rnacentral:lncRNA from 1 species